rnacentral:lncRNA from 1 species
CCUCCUCCAACCCCCGGAGUGUCCACAUGAGGAUAAUGAGGGCCCCCACCCAUGUGAGGCUCUAGAGUGCCAGUUCUUCUGAAGGUCUGCUCUCCUGGGCAUUGCUUGUUCCAAACUGCUGUUUGGUACAGCCUGGGCCACUGCCUUUCUGAAGAAUGUCACUGGCUUUGCUCCUUGUCACUACCAAAUGUGCCCAAAUGUGGCCACAGGCUUAACUUGAAAUUCCCCACAGAACAACUGGGAAAUGCCGCAAUGCUUAUGAUGGUAAUGAUGAUAGUGGUGAUGGAAAUGACAAUGAUGGUGAUGCUGCUGGUGGUGGUGGUGGUGGUGACUGAGGUGGUGGUGGUGGUGACUGAGGUAGCGGUGGUGGUGAUUGAGAUGGUGAUGAUUGAGAUGAUGGUGGUGAUUGAGAUGNNNNNNNNNNNNNNNNNNNNNNNNNUGAUUGAGAUGGUGAUGAUUGAGAUGAUGGUGGUGAUUGAGAUGAUGGUGGUGAUUGAGAUGGUGAUGAUUGAGAUGAUGGUGGUGAUUGAGAUGGUGAUGGUGAUUGAGAUGAUGAUGGUGUUUGAGAUGGUGGUGGUGAUUGAGAUGAUGGUGGUGGUGAUUGAGAUGAUGGUGGUGGUGACUGAGAUGGUGAUGGUUAUGACUGAGAUGGUGAUGAUUGAGAUGGUGGUGAUUGAGAUGGUGGUGGUGGUGAUUGAAUGGUGAUGAUUGAGAUGGUGAUGGUGAUGGUGGUGAUUGAGAUGAUGGUGGUGAUUGAGAUGGUGGUGCUGGUGGUGAGGGGGUCCUAGAGGGAGACUCAAAUCAACCGCUGCCCUAGCGCCCUUGGAGCACAGGAGAGCUCCCUCACCUCCCACCCUCCAGCUUGGCCUCCUCUCCCUCUGGACCAGGUUCUAGCUUUACGCUUGUGUAGCUCAAAGCCCAGCAAGAGGUUUUCCCAGAAGAGCAGCCUCCCUGUGGGCUGUCCCCGGGAGCAGCCAUUUCCACCUCUGCUUCACACGCAUGGCCCCUGCCUUGUCCCCAACAGCACUCGCUCAGCAGCCCCUCCCUCCCUGCACACUUCUUGAGCAUUCAAGACAUCGCUUGAAUCAAAAUGCAUUUUCCUCUGGCCUGAAGGCUGCUGACCCCUGGGAGCGGGCCCCGGCCACCUGUGCGUCCCUCC